AUGAAUUUUUCAGUGAUCUCCUGUAAUUCGCCUCCAAGCUGGAAGAGCUCUUUAUGGAGGAGCCCUGCUUGCUCAUGGCUCCAAGUUUGCUGGGUCUUCCCACCUUCCUCCAUGCCACGGUGGGGCUUUCUAGGACUCAAUUACCUGGCAGAAUCUGCUCUCAAAUUCAUUUAUUUUUUACAAAGCUCCCACCCCCCCUUUUUAAAAAAAAAAAAAAAAAAAAAAAAAAGAAAAAAAAGAUGCUGCCGAAGUGCACUUCUUAGAAUUCAUGGUGGAUUUCCUCUGCCUGCCUCUGUUACCCAAUUUAAAUACACAACAGUAAGAGGGGUUGAAUGCCACUGUGUUAACAUGGUGCCAGAGACCUCUGUGAGGUUGUUUGUUAAAAGCAAAUUGUACCUGUUAAGGGGCUGGGAAGGGGAGCACAGCUGCUGUUAACUGCUUUACCAAAUUGACUCUGACUCAUUCGUUUCAAAUGAAAAUUGAAAUGCUUUUGACUUCUUUUUUCUUCUCUCUUUUUUUUUUUUUUUUUCCCAUCCUUCCAGUGGCAAAUUUGCUUUACUUAACGCUAAGUGGGGAUCAUUUCUUGUGAUUACUGAAAAAUGCAUCAUAACUUUUGAUUACGCUGCUAUUAAGGAUGCAGAAUGGCAAUUGCUGCUCGUGGAGAGAGAGGAAAAAAUGCUGCUGGAAGAGCUGGUGUAACCCUUUGCUAUGCUGAAUGCUGCAAAGAUGUCACCACUGUAGGGCUGGGGCUACAGGCUGGUGGGGCAGAACCUAGGGGUGUGACAGCAAGACAGGGAAUUCUGGAGGCUGACUGCUUGGUUACCUGCUUCUUUAUGGCUCCUUUCCAAGGGCUUACUGCUUUCACUGUCUAUUUGCAGCUCUCACAGGGCACUGCCUGCCCUCUGUGAGUGCCUUAGUCCUGGUUUCUCACUGGGAACUACAUUUCCCAGAGUUCCUACCCUUAAAGGACUGAAGCACUGUAACAGUGCUGAGCAGCCUCCAGAGAGGCACAACAAAAAGUGUUAGGAGCGGGGCUGCGUGUAAUUAGCUAGUAAGCAGAGAAGAACAGCCAUCACAGAUCCAACAUGGCUAUCUUAAGAGUGAGAGAAACCAUUUCUUUUGCUGCUGCAGCCCUCAUUGCUCUGGGGAAUGCUGCAGCCAGCUGCAAACAGCUGCUUCUUCCUCCUGCCUUGCUAUAGCAGUGGUGUUAGUGGGAGUGAAAGUGUGAUCUCAGGAGUUAGCUAGUCUGGGCUGGGAAGGGAGCCCUGUUAGGCUCUCAGCAGACUCAGGGCAAUGUUUCUGCCCUAACAGUGCUUUACACAGAAUGCUUAAGGUUAGAAGAGACCUCUUAACCAUCCUAUAAGCUUUUUGCUUGAAGAUAGUGUCAGCAAGGCUGGAAAUGCUGGGUAUGCAUCAAGGAAACAAGGAAUGAAUG
rnacentral:lncRNA from 1 species